CUCACUCAAGUAUAUCUUUAUUUCAGACUGUUCCUAUUGCCACCAGGAAAUUUUUGAUGGGAAUGUCCUUCGUGAAAGACAUAAAAAGGGGCAGAAACAGCUAUUUAUGCAGUGGCAUCCUUGCCCUUUAUGUGGCAAAAGGUGGAGGUCAUCGUGGACCAAUGUGGAGAAUAUUGUGUAAAUAAGGAAGAAGAAAAUAAAUGAUAAUAGUCAUCUUUAUCUUCACCUGGUCUUUAUGUCUUGUCUCUGUUUUGCUCAGCUAAUGACAUGAACUACAUUCUGGAGAGGAAGUUAAAUAAAUAGGCCCAUGUAUAAAAAAACA